rnacentral:lncRNA from 1 species
UUCCACUGGCAAUUUCUCUUUCACUCUCCACGCCACCAUGCCCUCGUCUUCCUCCCAUGCAUCCUCGCCGGAGACUCACCGUCUUGAACCUCUCUUAGGCUCUAUUCGUCCUUUCCUCCGUGGCGAGCUUGAAAAGGUAAACCCGAUUCUUCCAUCUCUUAUCUCCGUCCUCCGCUCCGUCGGCGCCGGCGAAUGCUGGCACAAGCACGGCACCUUCCUCGAUCACCUCGUUGAUAUCUACCGUAUUCUCAAAAUCUGGAAAGCGCAAGAACCGGUUUGUUUGUGCGGUCUAUUUCACUCCGCUUAUUCCAAUUCCUAUGUCAAUCUCGC